rnacentral:rRNA from 1 species
UACGGAGGGGGCGAGCGUUAUUCGGAAUUAUUGGGCGUAAAGGGCGCGUAGGCGGCUUCUUAAGUCAAAGGUGAAAUCCCUCGGCUCAACUGAGGAACUGCCUUUGAAACUGGGGAGCUUGAGUCCGGGAGGGGGUAGCGGAAUUCCCAGUGUAGCGGUGAAAUGCGUAGAUAUUGGGAGGAACACCAGUGGCGAAGGCGGCUAUCUGGACCGGAACUGACGCUGAUGCGCGAAAGCGUGGGGAGCAAACAGG